rnacentral:rRNA from 1 species
UGGUCUUGACAUAGAAAGAACUUUCCAGAGAUGGAUUGGUGCCUGCUUGCAGGAGCUUUCAUACAGGUGCUGCACGGCUGUCGUCAGCUCGUGUCGUGAGAUGUUGGGUUAAGUCCCGCAACGAGCGCAACCCUCGUCGUUAGUUGCUAACAGUUCGGCUGAGCACUCUAGCGAGACUGCCUUCGCAAGGAGGAGGAAGGUGAGGACGACGUCAAGUCAUCAUGGCCCUUAUGGCUUGGGCUACACACGUGCUACAAUGGGGCGUACAGAGAGUUGCGAUACCGCGAGGUGGAGCUAAUCUCAUAAAGCGUCUCUCAGUUCGGAUUGGACUCUGCAACUCGAGUCCAUGAAGCUGGAAUCACUAGUAAUCGUAGAUCAGCAAUGCUACGGUGAAUACGUUCCCGGGUCU